rnacentral:rRNA from 1 species
CACGGGGGGAGCAAGCGUUGUUCGGAAUCACUGGGCGUAAAGGGCGUGUAGGCGGUCAGGUAAGUGGGAUGUGAAAUGCCUCGGCUCACCCGAGGACCUGCAUCCCAAACUGCUUGGCUUGAGUAUGGGAGAGGAUGAGGGAAUUCCAGGUGUAGCGGUGAAAUGCGUAGAGAUGCGGAGGAACACCGAUGGCGAAGGCAGCCCCCUGGGCCAAUACUGACGCUCAGGCACGAAAGCGUGGGGAGCAAACAGG